rnacentral:rRNA from 1 species
GACGAACCGUGCGAACGUUGUUCGGAAUCACUGGGCUUAAAGGGCGCGUAGGCGGGCUGAAAAGUCUGGGGUGAAAUCCCGCGGCUCAACCGUGGAACUGCCUUAGAUACUGUCGGCCUCGAGGGAGGUAGGGGCGUGCGGAACUGUAGGUGGAGCGGUGAAAUGCGUUGAUAUCUACAGGAACUCCGGUGGCGAAAGCGGCGCGCUGGACCUCUUCUGACGCUGAGGCGCGAAAGCUAGGGGAGCAAACGGG